ensembl:lncRNA
AGCAAAUUGAUGAAAUCUAAAGAAGGGGUUGUGGGAGCCCUAACUUGAAGCCAGUGUCAGAAGUCAGAAGUCCCUGAGGCCCAGACUUCAGACUGGUGUCUGAUGGAGAGUGGGGCAGUCUUGUGGGACUGAGCCUUCAGCAGGUGGGAUCUGACACUGUUGCCAGGUAAAUAAUGUCAGAAUUGACUUGGACUACACCAACUGGUGUCUGCUGCAGAACUGACUGGUGUAUGGGGAAACCCCAUCCUUCACAUUUGGUCACAGAAGCUUUCUGUGUUGAUUGUUGAGUAAGAGACUAGAAGAAGCAUUGUGAGUCUGAGCGUGAGUUUCUUCUUCAGAACUGGCAGUCAGGGGACUGAUUGGCUGAUUGUAGGAAAGGUCAUUGAAACAGAGGGGAUUAGGGUAUUGAGCUAUAUUAAAGAACAAUUGAAAAUGUUGAAUGUUAAAGAAAAAAAGUCCAGUCUUCAGAAAGACAGAGAAGGUUACUAAAAAGCAAUCAGGAAGGGGCAAUGCCAUUAACAUAAAGGUUUGUUUGUUUAUUCAUUUGUUUCAGGAGGAAAUGGGGAAGGGAGACAUCUAGAAAUGUCACUAAAGACAAAAGAUUAUACUCACCCUGUUUUCCGCAUGAAGGAAUACAGUCUCACAAAUAAACCAUCGCUUUUUGAGAUGUGGCAGAGAAACAGCAUUCUCAGUCUACCACUCCCUCAGAGGACUCCAGGAGGAUGUGGAAUUGAUGCAUCAUCCCAGAAGCACUCUAAAGACUACCCAGCAGGACUUUCCAACAGCCAGAGUGGACAUCCUAUAAAGCCUCGCUUCCCAUCUGGGUCACAAAAAGAUGGAAGAGACUCAGUGCUUUCUGAAAAACUGUGCAGCUCCUGAAAUCCGUAUGUUCAGUGAAUCUUUAUGUGUACAACAUUCCUUUUUAGUCCUCACUGACAAGCAUCCUCUCAUGCCAGUGUCUCCACUCUUAACUACUCUACCUUCCUCCCUCCUGGAAUCUUGGAGGAUUUCUGAGACUCUACCAUCAUUGCAACACCUUUCUCCUCCAUUAUAACAUCAAUCAUGCCAUACUUUCCAUCCCAACUGCUAGCGAUAGACACUUGC